ACCACAGUAACUCAGUGGUAGAGUGCUUGCCUGGCAGGCAUGAGGCUCUGGGUUUGAUCCCCAGCACUGGAG
rnacentral:tRNA from 1 species